rnacentral:rRNA from 1 species
UACGUAGGGGGCUAGCGUUGUCCGGAAUCAUUGGGCGUAAAGCGCACGUAGGCGGCUUCUUAAGUCAGGGGUGAAAUCCUGGAGCUCAACUCCAGAACUGCCUUUGAUACUGAGGAGCUCGAGUCCGGGAGAGGUGAGUGGAACUGCGAGUGUAGAGGUGAAAUUCGUAGAUAUUCGCAAGAACACCAGUGGCGAAGGCGGCUCACUGGCCCGGUACUGACGCUGAGGUGCGAAAGCGUGGGGAGCAAACAGG